GGGAGCGUUGCUGAGAACUGAGAAUAUGCUGUACCGACUAAUAUGGUGUGACUGGAUUAUUGCCUGACUGUGGCCUGACCAUCUUGUCGAAAUAGUGGAUGUGAAAGGGAUGCAUGGUUACCGUUUACUUUAUGGUUAAAAUAUUGUUUUGUUUCGUUUCUUUAUUACCUUUUGUUUGUAAGUGUGGAGAUCCGGAGUGGUAGAGAUUGAGGUACUAGUGAAUGUGUUUGGUUGUUGAUUUUAUGUUUGUGUACCUUGUAUUGCCCACUGUUAAUUGUGUUUUG